rnacentral:lncRNA from 1 species
UGUUAAUCCUUCAGAGAAUGGCAAUGGCCACUUCUUCUUCCUUCCUCUUAAUCCCUCUCCUCAAUACUCUUCUUUGCUUUCCCCAGUUAAACACCAAGCUCCGAGUUCAGGUCUCUGUCCUUGUACGGCGGUAGAACUGGAGACUCCACCUCCUCGGCGAUGGCCACAGAGGCUCAGGUCUCGACCCAAGACGACAAAUUGAAGGAUGCCCAGAUGGAGGUAGCUGAUAAACCUGAGACAGUCGUGCUUCCAACCAACGAGUCCUCCGAAAGCCUCAUCAUAAUUCGACACACGGUAUUUAUUGAAAUUUCAUUGCUUUGGAUUGGAUUUAUGAUUGUUUUAUGUUAAAUUGAAGUAGGGUGCUUUCCUGUUGAAUUUUUUGAAUUUUUAGAUUCUUAGGAGCUUCCCCUUUUUGAAAGUUUGAUGCUUUUAAUUAACUAUUUUCAAUUCUGCGUUACUAAUUGUCACCUGAUUCUAUUGUGAAGAAUGAGGAAGUGAGGAUGAAGAAAAUAAGAACCUAACUUUUCGGUAAUUUGAAAUUUGAUCGAAUAGGACAUGGAAAAAUGGGUGUACAUCAGUAGAUAAGCUGGGAAAAUUUUCAAGACUUGGAUUGUCUGCCCUCUAAUUUUGGUGCCCUCCCAGUGCCCUCUUGUUUUUGUGGUCAUGGUUAAGCCACAUCAACAUUUUAUAGUACUAUUUCUUUUUGUUUUAUUAUUUUUAUAAAAAAAUGAUAUAAAAUAUUGACGUGGCUUAACCGUGACCACACAAAACAGGAGGGCACCGAAAUGGGAGGGCAGACAAUCCAAGUCCAAAUUUUCAUCCUGUUUUUGGGAAUGUGAGAAGAUACAUGGGUUUCUGUAUUUUGAUAAAGUGUUGAGGUCGAGCUAUGUUCAUUUUUUUCUAAAUUUCCAUGUAGUUUGGUAUUAAUGGCGUCUUUUCCGCUGUUAUGGUGAUGAACUAUUUAUGUGUUUGACUGCAGUGUGCACACGUGAUGGCCCUGGCUGUUCAAAAGCUCUUCCCGGAUGCAAAAGUGACAAUUGGUCAGUGGAUAGAAAAUGGGUUCUAUUAUGAUUUUGAUAUGGAGCCUUUGACAGACAAAGAGUUGAAGAGAAUCAAGAAGGAGAUGGUAAGUGGAAUUUCUUUAUAAGUUAUCAUGUUUGUAUCAAAGUUUUGGAACCAUGAAACUAUUGAAAACUAUUCAUGAUCAUUUCUUUUGUGAUUUGUAGGAUCUCAUCAUUGGUAGAAACUUACCACUCAUAAGAGAAGAAGUUUCAAGAUAUGCUCACAAAAGAAUAACUGCGCUCAACGAAGCAUACAAAUUGGAAAUUUUGGAUAGUAUUAAAGAAGAUCCCAUUACCAUAUAUCAUAUUGGUAAGGGUUUCACUAUUUUCAGGCUCAAUAUAGUUUGGAAGGUGAUGAUUUAAUGUGCAGGAACUGUGCGUAAAUGAUAUUUUUAUUAGCUACACAAGUGAAAUGUACAGUGUUUGUGUCGAGUCUUAAGAUGGAAAUUUAAGGGAAUAAAAAAGAGAGGGCGGGGGUGUGCUCAGGGAAAACAAUGUUGUUGGUGCUCUUUAAAAAUGAGUUAUUGAUAUGCAAAUUGAAAAGGAGACUAAUUUGAAGGUGGGAGGAACCUUUUGGUCAAGCUAACCAAUUAUACUUAUGUUUAUACAUAUGCAUGCUUGUACUGGGAUUUGAUUGUGUUUUGAACUAGCAUCCUGUCAUAUUAGACUGUCUUUAUGUCAUAAUUCCUCAUAGUAUGCCGAAUUCUUCUUAUGUGAUGAAUGGUAGGAAGCAUGUGCAGGGCCCCAUGUUGAAAAAACUGGAAAUAUUAACGGAAAAGCUGUCGAACUUGAGUCUAUUGCUGGUGCUUGCUGGAGAGGAGAUGAAAAAAACCAAUGCUGCAGAGGAUCUAUGGCACUGCAUGGGAGAGUGAAGAUCAAUUGAAGGCAUAUCUUCAUUUCAAAGAGGAAGCUAAACGUCGAGAUCACAGGGGCUUUGAUCAAGUUCUUGACCUGUUUUCUAUACAGGUACUCAGAAUUGCCCUGAAUCUCUUUCUGCUGCUUACGCAGAUUUAUCAGUUAGCAAUCCCAUUAUUUGUAAUUAUGAGGAUUCUUGCAUUAACUCUGCCUGUGUAAGUUUAUCUUACAUUGCCGGUCCCAAGUCCGGGUAAAGGAGGAGGGGGAGGGCGUCAGGUAGUCGACAGCCGGCACUCCACAGUUACGUCGAAUCCUUAUGAAAAUGAAUCCAGAACGAAAUCGCGCUAAAGCUAGGGCGUCACCCGUAAGUGGCGCGCUGUGUGGCCCGAGCACAGUGAUAAGUGAGCAAGGGUCGCUGUAUCUCCAUCGGCACCCGGAUGCAGUGUUAAAUGAGCAAGGGGGCCAUAGAAACUUCUUUUCGAACGACUCCACUCAAAGUUGUUUGGGAGCAUAUACUCCUAUCAACUUUACACAGGACACACAAAAGAAGUACUUUGAUCCUAUUGGACGGGGGAGGGUGAAGAAGCUAGGACAAAAGGGUAGAGUUCAAGAGAGUAGAAUGCGUUUAGGAACGUGGAAUAUAGAAACCUUAACGGGAAAAUCUAUAGAAGUAGUGGAAGUUAUGGUGAGGAGAAGGAUAAAUAUUAUGUGCCUACAAGAAACUAAGUGGGUUGGUCUUAAGGCAAAGGAUCUAGAAAACUUAGGGUUUAAACUUUGGUAUUCGGGCACAAGUAGAACGAGAAACGGUGUUGGCAUCAUCUGUGGACAAGACCUUGACACAAGAUGUUGUAGAUGUCAAGAGGGUAGGAGAUAGAAUCAUGGCAAUCAAGAUUGUAAUAGGACAAGAACUCAUCAAUGUCAUUAGUGCGUACGCACCUCAAGUAGGGUUGGAUACGAGUUCGAAGGAGAAAUUUUGGGAAUACCUUGGAGACUUGGUGCUGGGAAUACCUUGGAGACUUGGUGCAAGGAAUUGCCCAGACGGAGAAGUUAUUUAUAGAGGAGAUUUAAAUGGACACGUGGGCAGGGAGACAGGCAACUAUAGAGGUUUUCAUGGUGGCCAUGGUUUUGGGGAGAGAAACGAGGAUGGGGAAGCUAUCUUGGAUUUUGCAAUGGCAUAUGAUCUCUUCUUAGCCAACACAUUCUUUAAGAAGAGAGAAGAACAUGUGAUCACCUACAAGAGUGGGUUGUCAAAAACACAAAUAGAUUUUCUUCUAAUGAGGAUAUGAGAUCGUAUAACUUGUAAGGAUUGCAAAGUUAUACCGGGAGAGAGCUUGGCUAAUUAACAUCGCUUGUUGGUGAUGGAUGUACAUAUCAAAAGAGUGAGAAAAAAGAACAAGACUUGGAAGUGCCCAAGGCCUAGAUGGUGGAAUCUAAAAGGAGAAAAACAAGCCAUUUUCAAAGAGAAAGUAAUCACCCAGUGUGGGUGGGAUAGAGAGGGGGAAGCUAGCUAAAUGUGGGAUUCCAUGGCUAGUUGUAUCCGAAAAGUAGCAAAAGAGGUAUUAGGAGAGUCCAAGGGCUUUGCCCCACACCAAAAGGAAUCUUGGUGGUGGAAUGAGGAGGUACAAACAAAGGUGAAGGCUAAGAAGGAAUGUUGUAAAGCCUUAUACAAGGACAGGACCGAUGAAAAUAGUGAAAGGUAUAGAAGAGCGAAGCAAGAGGCUAAGAAAGCUGUGAGAGAAGCUAAGUUAGCGGCUUAUGACGACAUGUAUAAGCGACUAGAUACCAAAGAAGGAGAGUUGGAUAUCUAUAAACUAGCUAGAGCAAGGGAAAAGAAGAUAAGGGACCUAAACCAAGUGAGGUGCAUCAAGGAUGAGGAUGGAAAGGUUCUUGCUACAGAGAAUGCGGUCAAAGACAGAUGGAGAGGUUAUUUUCAUAAUCUUUUCAAUGAAGGACAUGAAAGGAGUACUUCUUUAGGGGAGUUGAGUAAUUCAGAAGAGUGUAGAAACUACUCAUUUUAUCGUCGAAUCAGGAAGGAAAAAGUGGUUGUAGCUUUGAAGAAAAUGAAGCAUAGAAAAACAGUGGGCCCAGAUGAUAUAUCGAUCGAAGUGUGGAAAGUCUUGGGAGAGACAAGUAUAGCAUGGCUCACUGACCUUUUCAAUAGGAUUUUGAAAACGAAGAAGAUGCCAACUGAGUGGUGAAAGAGCACUUUGGUGCCUAUAUACAAGAAUAAGGGCGACGUACAAAAUUGCAUGAAUUAUAGGGGUAUUAAGCUAAUGAGCCAUACAAUGAAGCUCUGGGAGAGAGUCAUUGAGCAUAGAUUGAGGUAAGAGACACGGGUUUCGGACAACCAAUUCGGGUUCAUGCCAGGGCGCUCAACCAUGGAGGCAAUCUAUCUCUUACGAAGAUUGAUGGAAAGAUAUAGAGAUGGGAAAAAGGAUUUACACAUGGUCUUUAUAGAUUUGGAAAAAGCUUAUGAUAGGGUCCCAAGAGACAUUCUUUGGAGGAUUUUAGAGAAGGAAGAAGUACGAGCAGCAUAUAUCCAAGCUAUAAAGGAUAUGUAUGAAGGAGCAAAGACUGCCGUAAGAACUCAUGAAUGACAAACCGAAAGCUUCUCCAUAACUGUAGGAUUACAUCAAGGCUCAUCCUUAAGUCCUUACCUUUUUGCGUUGGUAAUGGAUGAGUUAACAGGACAUAUUCAAGAUGAUAUUCCUUGGUGUAUGCUUUCCGCAGAUGAUAUAGUGUUGAUAGAUGAAACUCAGGAAGGGGUAAAUGCGAAGCUUAACCUUUGGAGAGAAAUGUUGGAAUCUAAAGGUCUUCGCCUAAGCCGAUCAAAGAAAGAAUAUAUGGAGUGCAAGUUCAGUGCAAAUGGAGGCCAAAAUGAGUUAGGGGUGAGGAUCGGAGAUCAGGAAAUACCAAAGAGCGAUCGUUUUCGCUACUUAGGAUCUAUCUUGCAAAAGAACGGAGAAUUAGAUGGAGAUCUCAACCAUAGAAUACAAGCUGGAUGGAUGAAGUGGAAGAGUGCAUCCGGCGUGUUGUGUGACCGUCGUAUGCCACUGAAGCUCAAGGAAAAAUUUUAUAGGACAACAAUAAGGUCGGCGAUGCUGUAUGGCACAGAAUGUUGGGCGGUGAAGCAUCAACACGUACACAAAAUGGGUGUAGCGGAGAUGAGGAUGCUUCGUUGGAUGUGUGGGCACACGAGAAAUGAUAAGAUUAGGAAUGAGGAUAUCCGAGGUAAAGUAGGAGUAGCCGAAAUUGUACGAAAAUUGAGAGAAAAUUGGUUACAGUGGUUUGGACAUGUGCAAAGAAGGCCUACUGACGCUCCGGUUAGAAUAUGCGACUACAGGACAGAGGUUUAGGGCCGAAGGGGUAGAGGAAGACCUAGGAAAACUUUGGAAGAGACUCUAAGAAAAGACUUAGAGUAUUUGGAUCUAACGGAGGACAUGACACAGGACUGAGCACAAUGGCAUUCUAAGAUUCAUAUAGCCGACCCCACUCAGUGAAGAAGGCUUUGGUGUAUUUAACACAAUACGUUGAAAUGAAGCAAAACUUAUUUAUUGAUAUCUCCGAUAAGUUACAAAUAUGUACAUAUACAUGAGUCAAAAUAAACAAACAAGAGGGAGCCUUCACAAAGGUUGCUUAGGAGAAGUCUCAGCAGUUGGUAGAGCCCCAGAAAGAGAAGGCACCGGAGGGGUAUCAUUCGAAGCCUCAGUACUGGACAGAACCCUAGAAGGAGGAGGCAUCGAAGGUUGAUCAUUUGGAGCUUCAGUACGCGGUACAGCCCCAGAAGACGAAGGCAAUAAAUGCCUUUGGAACAAACCCACAAACCGCUGAUGAUCAAGUAAAACCUGACCAUCAGAUUCCUUCAUCUGGUCAAGCUUCCUCUUCAUGUUUGUAGCAUAGUCAUGUGCGAGCCGGUGCAACUGUUUAUUCUCAUGCUUGAGCCCUCUAAUCUCUUAUUUGAAACUCAUCACUUCAGCCGCCAAUGAUUCAACUUGGCAGGUUCGAGCAAAUAGGCGCUGGGCCAUAUUAGACACAGAACCUGCACACUGAACACUUAGAGCCAGAUAAUCCUUAACAGCCAACUCAUCAGACCGUUUGCAAAGUAAUCUGUUAUAUUUGGGAGUGAGAAAGUUCCUGGCCACCACCGCAGCAGUCAUAUCAUUCUUCAUCACGGAAUCCCCAACGGUAAGCGGACCAGUAGGGGAUAAGAAAGAUGGACGCCAUAUGUUGUCUGGAGAAGGCGUGGCUGCCUCUUCAACGAGGUUCAAGUCAAAACGACGGUCGGAGGGGCCAGAAAUUUUCAAAGGUGUUGAAGAGAGAAGUGGUCGGACAAAUCAAGAUCUUAGAAGUGCAAGAAUGGAGCUUCUACUGGUGAAGAUUCAAGUGUGCUUUGGAACUUAAUGUCAGCCUCUAUAAAAAUCUGCACUCGACGGAGCUUCAGAAAUCGAAGAGGCGCCUGCCCAGAAAUCGAAGAGGCAUUUGCUUUCUCAAAAGUUGGGCUGCUCAAAGACCACGAGGGUCGAUCUCAGAAAUCGAAGAGGCGUUUGCUUUCUCAAAAGCUGGGCUGCUCAAAGACCACGAAGGCCGAUCUCAGAAAUCGAAGAGGCACUUGCUUUCUCAAAAGCUGGGUUGCUUAGAGACCACGAAGGCCGAUCUCAGAAAUCGAAGAGGCACCUGCUUUUUUCAGCCUUGUCAGCACCUGUCACAUGCACACUCAGCUUUGCUGAAAUUACGGGCAUUCUGUUGAAUAUUUCUGGUGAAGUAGAAAGCACGUGAAUCUUAUUGUUCAAUCAUCCACUUUCCACACGCACCAUCAGCUCAUGGGUACCAUAGAUAACUUUGCCAAAGAUCUCUGACAAAGUUUAGACACGUGAAGCUUGCAGCUCCCACUACAUCGCUAUGAUCAAGAAGGGUAAAAGAAUAGCAAAGAAACAGCACUAACAAAGUUUAGAUACAUAAAUUUUGAAGGUCUAGCUACCAUAUUAUUACCUACAAGGGUAAAGGAACAGCACCGCUGCUGGAUAAUCGGAAAGUCCUUGUAUGUCAACCUAUGUGCUCUGUGGCAAGGUAGACUAGCAAACAUGCCCAAACUUUACUUACAUUCGAGAAAACACUCCCAACAAGAUUGCUUGCUCCAAAAUCGAAGAGGCACCGUCCUCUGAAUCUCGAGAGCCAGACUCCCAACAUGAUUACUUUCUCAAAAUUGAAGAGACACCGCUCUCCGAAUCUCGAGAGCUAGACUCCCAGCAGGAUUGCUCUCUCAAAAAUCGAAGAGGCACCGUUUUCCGAAUCUCGAGAGCCAGAUCUCCGACAAGAUUACUUGUACGAAAACCGAAAAGGCACCGCUUUCUCAACUUCAAGAGCCAGAUCUCCUUGGAUAAAGCUUGUCUGUAAUCUUCACACGCAACAUCAGCUUUCCAGAUACCACAGACCACUUUUUCAAAGUGCUCUGACACACGUGAAGCUAGCAACUCCCACUACCGUGCUAUGACCAAGCAGGGUAAAGGAAUAGUAUUACUACUUGUUGUUAGGGAAACUCCUAUAUAUGUCGACCUCCAUCCUCAACGGACAGGCAGACCUGCAAAAAUGCUCAACACUUCCUCAUAUCCGAGAGGGCACUCCCAACGAAGCCUCUCGAAAUACUCAGCUUUCUUUCCCCCCGAUAAUACCUCUGCAAACAAGCUACACCAGAGCAAGAAUAUCUCAUAUCAUCAGGGUUAAAAGCAAGAGUAUCCCAUAUCAUGCUUUUUCCCUGUCUUUUCCUUUGGCCUUGUUCUUACCUGCAAGACAAGGAGAAAGAGAGCAAUCAGUCAGCACUUGGAAUCAAGCUUCCAGUCAGGAACUGACUGCCUGGAACCCCUUACCUGAUUACUUACCUGGCAUUGCUCUCGAGUACCCAUCUUCAAAAUCUUAUGCUUCCAGAGAAGAUACCACAUCUGCCUGAGGAACAGAUAGGGAAAGUGAGAAGGAUACAAGGAAGCAUGUGGAGACAAACGUAACAGAACACGUGCCGAUACAUCCACUACUUUGUCAACAGCAAAAGUAUCUCAUAUCAGCAGGGUCGAACGUACUCUAGAUUUGAUGGACGUGUUUUGACCCUCAAAUUCUUCAGUCGGCCUUAUACUCUGGAAGAAACCAGAAAAUCCUCCAGCCCAGUUCAAGAAUAAGCCUGUGUAAAGUUACUUAUUCAAAAGCAAAAGUAUCUCAUAUCAUCUAUUCUCCUUUUCUUCUCUUUAUCCUUCAUGCUGCCUGCAAGAUAGGGAGAAUGAGAACAAUCAGCCGGAACUCGAAAUCAAACUUCUGAUCUGGGACUAAUUGCUUGGAGCUCUGAUUGCUUACCUUGUCUGUCACCUUUUUCAGCAUAUCCCCUAGCUCGGUGACUUGGGGGACUCCUACUACAUGGUUUGUAUCGCGCUUGACCAAGCCUGAAACUACAAGUAAGCUUCAAGUGAAUUUGAUACAUUACCUUGUGCAUCUCCACCAGUUAAAGAUACCACCCCUUGAUGGAGGAAGCGUACUUCCAGAGAAGAUGCCACAUCUACCUAUGAGACAGUUAAGGCAAGUGAAGACGAGAGCAUGCACCUAUGUGAUUUGUACUAAAUCAUUCACUUGUACUCACUAAAGGAGAGCUUGAACCUAUGUACUUGCGUAAACUCUUCACAAUUAAUGAGAACUCCUCUACUCCGUGGACGUAGCCAAUCUGGGCGAACCACGUACAUCUUGUGUUUGCUUUCUUGUCUCUAUCCAUUUACAUACUUAUCCACAUUAAUGACCAGAGCAAUCUAGCGAAGAUCACAAACUUAAUACUCUCUGUUGUACCAAAGUCCUCACUGAUUUUGUGCAUCAACAAUCCUUAAGUCUUUACAUUUUUGCGUUGGUAAUGGAUGAGUUAAUAGGACAUAUUCAAGAUGAUAUUCCUUGGUGUAUGCUUUUCGCAGAUGAUAUAGUGUUGAUAGAUGAAACUCAUACGGGGUAAAUGCGAAACUUAACUUUUGGAGAGAAGUGUUGGAAUCUAAAGGUCUUCGCCUAAGCCGAUCAAAGACAGAAUAUAUGAAGUGCAUGUUCAUUACAAAUGGAGGCCAAAAUGAGUUAUGGGUGAGGAUCGGAGAUCAGGAAAUACCAAAGAGCGACCGUUUUCGCUACCUAGGAUCUAUAUUGCAAAAGAAUGGAGAAUUAGAUGGAGAUCUCAACCAUAGAAUACAAGCUGGAUGGAUGAAGUGGAAUAGUGCUUCUGGCGUGUUGUGUAACCGUCGUAGGCCACUAAAGCUCAAGGAAAAAUUUUAUAGGACGGUAAUAAGGCCGACGAUGCUGUAUGGCACAGAAUGUUGGGCAGUGAAGCAUCAACACGUACACAAAAUGGGUUUAGACAUGUACAAAGAAGGCCUACUGACGCUCCGGUUCGAAGAUGGGACUACGAGAUAGAGGUUCAGGGCCGAAGGGGUAGAGGUAAACCUAGGAAAACUUUGGAAGAGACCCUAAGAAAAGACUUAGAGUACUUUGAUCUAACGGAGGAUAUGACACAAAAUUGCGCACAAUGGCGUUCUAGGAUUCAUAUAGCCGACCUCACUUAGUGGGAAAAGGCUUUGUUGUUGUUGUUGUAUGAGGAUUCUUGCAUUGAACAUUUUCAUUGUUGAAUUUUCACAGAAUGAUGCUGGUGGUGGUUUAGUGUUCUGGCAUCCAAAGGGUGCUAUUGUGAGGCAUGUAAUGGAAGAUUUGUGGAAAAAGAUUCACAUAGAACGUGGUUACAAUCUGCUUAUACUCCACAUGUUGCAAAGGCGAACCUUUGGCAGAUAAGUGGUCAUCUGGAUUACUACAAGGAGAAUAUGUAUGAUCAAAUGAAUGUUGAGGAUGAACUUUAUCAGCUUCGACCGAUGAACUGCCCCUAUCAUAUCUUGGUUUACAGAAAGAAGCCUUACUCAUAUCAUGAAUUUCCUAUUCAAGUUGUUGAGUUGGGAACCGUUUAUAGAUACGAAUUAUCUGGAAGCUUGCAUGGUCUUUUUCGUGUAAGAGGUUUUACUCAGGUACAGUGUUAGUAUUUGCAAACUAUUAGUCUAUAAUCCUUGGUGUAUGAAGUGUUUUUUUUUUUUUUAACCUCAGGACUUGUUGCAGGAUGAUGCCCACAUAUUUUUUCAAGAAGAUCAGAUCAAAGAUGAAAUUAAGGGUGUCCUAGAUCUUACCGAAUAACUUUUGUUGCAAUUCGGCUUCAGCAAAUAUGAGGUCAAUCUCUCUUCGAGGCCAGAGAAAGCUGUUGGAGAUGGUGAUAUAUGGGUGAAAGGCAACAUCUGCCCUUACUCCUUAGAGAUGCUUUGGAUGAUAAAGGUUGGAGCUAUCAAAUUGAUGAAGGUGGUGGUGCCUUUUAUGGUCCAAAGAUUGAUCUUAAGAUUGAGGAUGCCCUUGGAAGGAGGUGGCAGUGCUCAACUAUACAAGUUAAUCCUGAACUCAUGACGGGAUAAUUCUAAUGUACGCUUUGUUUUUUAAUUGGUAGUCUCUAUGUCUAUCUCCGUAUCACUUUGUAAAAUGUUCAUUGGAGAUUUGAGCAUCUUUUUUUAAUUGAGCGAAUUACAUGGAUUUGUUUGCUAGAGUAAAGCCACUUAUUAUUGUUAUUUUAAAUUGUUUGAUCUUUUGUACUUCCCAAAUUGUACAAGUUGAUUUUCCAUUAUGGCUUUCGCCAAUACAAGCUCAUGUUUUACCAGUUACUGACUCUCAGGUUUGUAAAGCAGUUGCACGUUUAAUGUUUCAAUUAACUCAAGGACCCUCAACACACCUGCACGACGGUUACCUGGGCUAUGACCCCUGACUCUCCUCCCAGUGAUUCGACUCCUUUGUCGACUCCGAGUCGCUCAAGGACUCCACCACCGAUUCCCCAAUCUUCCACGGCUCCACCAUAGACGACGCUUUCGAACGGCCAGGGCUUUGAUGGAGGGUUUGGCGGGUCCGACGAUCCCAUUUUGCCGGUUCCGUCUGAGAUACUGCCUGAGGAGGGCUUCGCUCUCAGAAAAUGGAGGAGGUAGGAUCUCGAAUUCUAAUUGUUUUCAAUUGAACCGAUAGUUCUGUAUAGCAAUUAAAUUUUGACUCUUUUGUGCAAUUUAGUUGAAAGUUGUUGGUUUUGAUUUGGCUUGAUCUUUCUGUUGAUGAGAAAUUAGGUGGAAAUUGUUGUUUUGAUUUCGAUAGUUUUCAAGAAUUGCAUGCUUAGUGAUCAGCAAUCGUCUGGCUUUAUCGGGUAAGGAGAUAAAGCAAUUAAAUUUCAAAAUUUGGAUUUACAGUUCGUAUUUUGAGCCUGAAUUCAUGAAAACAAACAUAACCCAUUAUUUAUUAGCGAUUAAUGAUCUGAUUAAUUUAGUUUUUAAUCAUAAUCAAUAGCAUGUAGCUUUAAUGGAAGUGGGGUUUGGGAAAUUGGCUAGCACCCAUUUUGCUUUUUGUUUGUCUGCUUUCCAUUUCUCCUCUCUCUUGCCAUCUUCUUUGUAUUUUGGCUACUUCUCUCUCCCGCACUCCCUUUUUAACUCUUGGUUCUGUGGUUCUCCGGCUGCCGUUAGGUUUUUGUGGUCGAACAACGAUGGAAUCCGAGGAUGAUGACUACUACAGCAACGACAAUGACUCCUAGAAAUUUUUAUUUUGAAUUCGGAAUUGGUUUGAUUGAAGCCCCCUAAUUGAUUGUAUUUAGGUUGGAUUUUUAUGCAUCAGGAAUUUCAAUUGAAGCCUCCUAAUUGGAUAAUGUUUUUCCCAUGUUAGGCUUCUCUGAUUGAGGUGAUACAGAUACCAAAUUGGAGCGGUGCUGUUAGUGGAGGAAUCUGGUAGAAACGAUGAGUUUGUAGAUUGAAUUUGUAUAUGAUGAUAAUAAAAAAUGAUAUGUUGUUUUCGUAAUUCUUUUUGCUUUCAAAGUUUAUUGCUUGGUUGUGUUCGUAACCUCUGGGUUCUUACGGUUCUUUGUCUCUCUUACUUCAGAUUCUUUGUGUUUUUUAUCAUUCGUUUGUGAAGAAAUGGGUCGUACGUAGUGGUAAGGCUCUGAGGAAGGCACUUGCCACCAAGGUGCGUUUCGUUUGGGUUUCUGAUGUCUAGAAAAUUAGAAUUGAUAAUUGCAAGCAAUUUUUUCCGAGAAACAAUCAGAUUAUUGAAUCUAAGUUGCUAAUUGUUUUAAUUUUGUAUAUGCUGCAAUUAAAUCAGCACCCGCAACUGAAGGUGUCAAGAAGCCUGACUGCUACCGCCUUGGAAUCGUCAUUUUUCGGUAAGUUUUCAACACAAUAUAGUUCAAAUCCUCUGAAUCAUGUUCUUGAAUUUUACUAUAUGUAUCGUGUUCUUUGCAUUUCGUUAUCUGAAAUUUGUUCUUUGAAUUUGGUUACCAGAAUCGUGCCUAAUGUUUGAUGUGGCCAGUGGCUUUGUAUGGUUGGCUGGUGUGAUUUGGGAGUGUUUUUAGUUAAUGGCAGACAUAGGACAAAGGUGUGGGGCAGCGAAGUCAAGUGGGAUUAGGAAUUUAGGAUAGUAGACUGUUUGCUAAUUUAUGGGAUUAGAAGUCUUCCUUUAUUUUUUCUCUUCAUGUAACAACAACAACAACAACAAAGCCUUUUCCCACUAAGUGGGGUCGGCUAUAUGAAUCCUAGAACGCCAUUACGCUCGGUUUUGCACAUGUCCAAACCCAUUUUGUGUACGUGUUGAUGCUUCACCACCCAACAUUCUGUGCCAUACAUCAUCGCCGGCCUUAUUGCCGUCCUAUAAAAUUUUCCCUUGAACUUCAGUGGCCUACGACGGUCACACAACACGCCGGAUGCACUCUUCCACUUCAUCCAUCCAGCUUGUCUUCUAUGGUUGAGAUCUCCAUCUAAUUCUCCGUUCUUUUGCAAGAUAGAUCCUAGGUAGCGAAAACGGUCGCUCUUUGGUAUUACAUGAUUUUCGAUCCUCGCCCCUAACUCAUUUUGGCCUCCAUUUGCACUGAGCUUGCACUCCAUAUAUUCUAUCUUUGAUCGACUUAGGCGAAGACCUUUAGAUUCCAACACUUGUCUCCAAAGGUUAAGCUUCGCAUUGACCCCUCAUGAGUUUCAUCUAUCAACACUAUAUCAUUUGCGAGAAGCAUACACCAAGGAAUAUCAUCUUGAAUAUGUCCGGUUAACUCAUCCAUUACCAACGUAAAAGGGUAAGGACUUAAGGAUUGUUGAUGCACAAAAUCAGUGAGGACUUUGGUACAACAGAAAGUAUUAAGUUAUUGCUCUGGUCAUUAGUGUGGAUAAGUAUGUAAAAGGAUAGAGAUAGGAAAGCAAACAUAAAAUGUACGUAGUUCACCCAGAAAGUAACUUUCCACAGGCUUAUUCUUGAACUGGGCUGGAGGGAUUUCUGGUUUCCUCCAGAGUAUAAGGCCGAUUGAAGAAUUUGAGGGUCAAAACAAGUCCAUCAAAUCUAGAGUACGUUCGACCCUGCUGAUAUGAGAUACUUUUGCUGUUGACAAAGUAGUGGAUGUAUCGGCACGCGUUCUGUUACGCUUGUCUCCAUAUGCUUCCUUGUAUCCUUCUCACUGUCCUUAUCGGUUCCUCAGGCAGAUGUGGUAUCUUCUCUGGAAGCAUAAGAUGUUGAAGAUGAGUACUCGAGAGCAGUGCCAGGUAAGUAAUCAGGUAAGGGUUCCAGGCAGUCAGUUCCUGACUGGAAGCUUGAUUCCAAGUGCUGACUGAUUGCUCUCUUUCUCCUUGUCUUUUGCAGGUAAGAACAAGGCCAAAGGAAAAGACAGGGAAAAAACAUGAUAUGGGAUACUCUUGCUUUUAACCCUGAUGAUAUGAGAUAUUCUUGCUUUGGUGUAGCUUGUUUGCAGAGGUAUUAUCGGAGGGAAAGAAAGCUGAGUAUUUCGAGAGACUUCUUUGGGAGUGCCCUCUCAGAUAUGAGGAAGGGUUGAGCAUUUUUGCAGGUCUGCCUGUCCGUUGAAGAUGAAGGUCGACAUAUAUAGGAGUCUCCCUAACAACAAGUAGUAAUGCUAUUCCUUUACCUUGCUUGGUCAUAGCACGGUAGUGGGAGCUGCCAGCUUCAUGUGUGUCAGAGCACUUUGAAAAAGUGGUAUGUGGUAUCUGGAAAGCUGAUGUUGCGUGUGAAGAUUAGACACAAGCUUUAUCCAAGGAGAUCUGGCUCUCGAAGUUGAGAAAGCGGUGCCUCUUCGGUUUUCAAACAAGCAAUCCUGCGGGGAUCUGGCUCUCAAUAUUCGGAGAACGGUGCCUCUUCGAUUUUUGAGAGAGCAAUCCUGCUGGGAGUCUGGCUCUCGAGAUUCGGAGAGCGAUGUCUCUUCGAUUUUGAGAAAUUAAUCAUGUUGGGAGUCUGGCUCUCAAGAUUCGGAGAACAGUGCCUCUUCAAUUUUAGAGCAAGCAAUCUUGUUGGGAGUGUUUUCUCGAAUGUGAGUAAAGGCAGGGCAUGUUUGCUAGUCUACCUUGCCACGGAGCACAGAGGUUGACACACAGGGACUUUCUAAUUAUCCAGCAGUGGUGCUGUUCCUUUACCCUUGUGGAUAAUAAUAUGAUAGCUAGACAUUCAAAAUUUAUGUGUCUAAACUUUGUUAGUGCUGUUUCUUUGCUAUUCUUUUACCCUUCUUGAUCAUAGCGAUGUAGUGGGAGCUGCAAGCUUCACGUGUUUAAACUUUGUCAAAGAUCUUUGACAAAGUUAUCUGUGGUACCCCUGAGCUGAUGGUGCGUGUGAAAAGUGGAUGAUUGAAUAGUAAGAUUCAUGUGCUUUUUACUUCACCAGAAAUCUUCAACAGAAUGCCCGUAAUUUCAGCAAAGCUGAGUGUGCAUGUGACAGGUGCUGACAAGGCUGAAAAAAGUAGGUGCCUCUUCGAUUUCUAAGAUCGACCCUCGUGGUCUCUAAGCAACCUAGCUUUUGAGAAAGCAAGCCUCUUCGAUUUCUAAGAUCGGUCUUCGCGGUCUUUUAGCAGCUCAGCUUUUAAGAAAGCAAACGCCUCUUCGAUUUCUGAGAUCGGCCCUCAUGGUCUCUGAGCAGCCUAGCUUUUGAGAAAGCAAACGCCUCUUCGAUUUCUGGGCAGACGCCUCUUCGAUUUUUUAAGCUCCGUCGAGUGCAGAUUUUUAUAGCGGCUGGCAUUAAGUUUCAAAGCACACUUGAAUCUUCACCAGGAGAAGCUCCCUUCUUGCACUUCUAAAAUCUUGAUUUGUCCGACCUCUUCUCUCUUCAACACCUUUGAAAAUGUCUGGCCCAUCCGACCGUCGUUUUGACUUGAACCUUGUUGAAGAGGCAGCCACGCCUUCUCUAGACAACAUAUGGCGCCCAUCCUUCUUAUCCCCUACUGGUCAUCUUACCGUUGGGGAUUCCGUGAUGAAGAAUGAUAUGACCGCUACGGUGGUGACCAUGAACCUUCUCACUCCCAAAGAUAACAGACUAUUUUCCAAACGGUCUAAUGAAUUGGCUGUUAAGGAUUCUCUGGCUCUGAGUAUUCAGUGUGCAGGUUCUGUGUCUAAUAUGGCCCAACGCCUAUUUGCUCUAACCCGCCAAGUUGAAUCAUUGGCAGCUGAAAUGAUGAGUCUCAAACAAGAAAUUAGAGGGCUCAAGCAUGAGAAUAAACAGUUGCACCGGCUCGCACAUAACUAUGCUAUAAACAUGAAGUGGAAGCUUAACCAGAUGAAGGAAUCUGAUGGUCAGGUUUUACUUGAUCAUCAGCGGUUUGUGGGUUUGUUCCAAAGGCAUUUAUUGCCUUCGUCUUCUGGGGCUGUACCGCAUAAUGAAGCUCCAAAUGAUCAACCUCCGAUGCCUCCUCCUUCUAGGGUUCUGUCCAAUACUGAGGCUCCUAAUGAUCCCCCUCCGAUGCCUUCUCUUUCUAGAGCUCUACCAACUGCUGAGACUUCUCCUAAGCAACCUUUAUGAAGGCUCCCUCUUGUUUGUUUAUUUUGACUCAUGUAUAUGUACAUAUUUGUAACUUAUCGGAGAUAUCAAUAACUAAGCUUUGCUUCAUUUCCAACGUAUUGUGUUAAAUACACCAAAGCCUUCUUCAUUGAGUGGAGUCCGCUAUAUGAAUCUUAGAACGCCAUUGUGCUCGGUCCUGUGUCAUGUCCUCCGUUAGAUCCAAAUACUCUAAGUCUUUUCUUAGAGACUCUUCCAAAGUUUUCCUAGGUCUUCCUCUACCCCUUCGGCCCUGAACCUCUGUCCCGUAGUAACAUCUUCUAACCGGAGCGUCAGUAGGCCUUUUUUGCACAUGUCCAAACCACCGUAACCGAUUUUCUCUCAACUUUCCUACAAUUUCGGCUACUCCUACUUUACCUCGGAUAUCCUCAUUCCUAAUCUUAUCCUUUCUCGUGUGCCCACACAUCCAACGAAGCAUCCUCAUCUCCGCUACACCCAUUUUGUGUACGUGUUAAUGCUUCACCGCCCAACAUUCUGUGCCAUACAGCAUCGCCGACCUUAUUGUCGUCCUAUAAAAUUUUCCCUUGAGCUUCAGUGGCAUACGGCGGUCACACAACACGCCGGAUGCACUCUUCCACUUCAUCCAUCUAGCUUGUAUUCUAUGGUUGAGAUCUCCAUCUAAUUCUCCGUUCUUUUGCAAGAUAGAUUCUAAGUAGCGAAAACGAUCGCUCUUUGGUAUUUCCUGAUCUCCGAUCCUCACCCCUAACUCAUUUUGGCCUCCAUUUGCACUAAACUUGCACUUCAUAUAUUCUGUCUUUGAUCGGCUUAGGCGAAGACCUUUAGAUUCCAACAGUUGUCUCCAAAGGUUAAGCUUCGCAUUUACCCCUUCCUGAGUUUCAUCUAUCAAUACUAUAUCGUCUGCGAAAAGCAUACACCAAGGAAUAUCAUCUUGAAUAUGUCAUGUUAACUCAUCCAUUACCAACGCAAAAAGGUAAGGACUUAAGGAUGAGCCUUGAUGUAAUCCUACAAUUAUGGAGAAGCUUUCGGUUUGUCAUUCAUGAGUUCUUACGGCAGUCUUUGCUCCUUCAUACAUAUCCUUUAUAGCUUGGAUAUAUGCUACUCGUACUCCUUCAUUCUCUAAAAUCCUCAAAAGAAUGUCUCUUGGGACCCUAUCAUAAGCUUUUUCCAAAUCUAUAAAGACCAUGUGUAAAUCCUUUUUCCCAUCUCUAUAUCUUUCCAUCAAUCUUCGUAAGAGAUAGAUUGCCUCCAUGGUUGAGCGCCCUGGCAUGAACCCGAAUUGGUUGUCCGAAACCCGUGUCACUUACCUCAAUCUAUGCUCAAUGACUCUCUCCCAAAGCUUCAUUGUAUGACUCAUUAGCUUAAUACCCCUAUAGUUCAUGCAAUUUUGUACGUUGCCCUUAUUCUUGUAGAUAGGCACCAAAGUGCUCUUUCGCCACUCAUUUGGCAUCUUCUUCGUUUUCAAAAUCCUAUUGAAAAGGUCAGUGAGCCAUGCUAUACCUGUCUCUCCCAAGACUUUCCACACUUCGAUCGGUAUAUUGUCUAGGCCCACUGCUUUAUAAUGCUUCAUCUUCUUCAAAGCUACAACCACUUCUUCUUUCCUGAUUCGACGAUAAAAUGAGUAGUUUCUACACUCUUCUGAGUUACUCAACUCCCCUAAAGAAGUACUCCUUUCAUGUCCUUCAUUAAAAAGAUUAUGAAAAUAACCUCUCCAUCUGUCUUUGACCGCGUUCUCUGUAGCAAGAACCUUUCCAUCCUCAUCCUUGAUGCACCUCACUUGGUUUAGGUCCCUUGUCUUCUUUUCCCUUGCUCUAGCUAGUUUAUAGAUAUCUAACUCUCCUUCUUUGGUAUCUAGUCGCUUAUACAUAUCGUCAUAAGCCGCUAACUUAGCUUCUCUCACAACUUUCUUCGCCUCUUGCUUCGCUCUUCUAUACCUUUCACCAUUUUCAUCGGUCAUGUCCUUGUAUAAGGCUUUACAACAUUCCUUCUUAGCCUUCACCUUUGUUUGUACCUCCUCAUUCCACCACCAAGAUUCCUUUUGGUAUGGAGCAAAGCCCUUAGACUCUCCUAAUACCUCUUUUGCUACUUUUCGGAUACAACUAGCCAUGGAAUCCCACCUUUGGCUAGCUUCCCCCUCUCUAUCCCACCCAUACUGGGUGAUUACUUUCUCUUUGAAAAUGACUUGUUUUUCUCCUUUUAGAUUCCACCAUCUAGUCCUUGGGCACUUCCAAGUCUUGUUCUUUUUUUCUCACUCUUUUGAUAUGUACAUCCAUCACCAACAAGCGAUGUUAAUUAGCCAAGCUCUCUCCCGGUAUAACUUUGCAAUCCUUACAAGUUAUACGAUCCCCUUUCCUCAUUAGAAGAAAAUCUAUUUGUGUUUUUGACGACCCACUCUUGUAAGUGAUCACAUGUUCUUCUCUCUUCUUAAAGAAGGUGUUGGCUAAGAAGAGAUCAUAUGCCAUUGCAAAAUCCAAGAUAGCUUCCCCAUCCUCGUUUCUCUCCCCAAAACCAUGGCCACCAUGAAAACCUCCAUAGUUGCCUGUCUCCCUGCCCACGUGUCCAUUUAAAUCUCCUUCUAUAAAUAACUUCUCCGUCUGGGCAAUUCCUUGCACCAAGUCUCCAAGGUCUUCCCAAAAUUUCUCCUUCGAACUCGUAUCAAACCCUACUUGAGGUGCAUACGCACUAAUCACAUUGAUGAGUUCUUGUCCUAUUACAAUCUUGAUUGCCAUGAUUCUAUCUCCUACCCUCUUGACAUUUACAACAUCUUGUGUCAAGGUCUUGUCCACGAUGAUGCCAACACCGUUUCUCGUUCUAUUUGUGCCCGAAUACCAAAGUUUAAACCCUGAGUUUUCUAGAUCCUUUGCCUUAAGACCAACCCACUUAGUUUCUUGUAGGAACAUAAUAUUUAUCCUUCUCUUCACCAUAACUUCCACUACUUCCUUAGAUUUUCCGGUUAAGGUUCCUAUAUUCCACGUUCCUAAAUGCAUUCUGCUAUCUUGAACUCUACCUUUCUGUCCUAGCUUCUUCACCCUCCCCCGUCCAAUAGAAUCAAAGUACUUCUUUUGUGUGUCCUGUGUAAAGUUGAUAGGAGCAUAUGCUCCCAAACAACUUUGAGUGGAGUCGUUCGAAAAGAAGUUUAUAUGGCCCCCUUGCUCAUUUAACACUGCAUCUAGGUGCUGAUGGAGAUACGGCAACCCUUGCUCACUUAUCACUAUGCUCGGGCCACACAACGCGCCAUUUACGGGUGACGCCCUAGCUUUAGCGCGAUUUCGUGCGAUGAAAAAAAAAAGGUGAGUAAUUUUAACUCUAGUUUGAGGUAAUAACAUGUGAAUUUUUCGUAUUACUGGUUUUUCCCUUUCUAUUAAAAACAACCUUUGAUUUCUUUGAUAGUGCGUUUUUCUAUCUGUGCUAUUGUUGAACUCCCCCAGUUAUCAGUUUUGACUCAAAAAAAAUAUUCGAUGAUAACAUGCAUUGAAUAUUGGCUAAAAUUAUAUUGAAAUUUGCUGGCCGAAGCAGAUAUCGUUAAAAGAGCUCUAAGUCACCCUCUGAAAUUAAUUGCCAAAAGUGAUGUUGUAAAUGGAAGAGUUGUUAGUGAGAAGGCAUUUUUUUUCGUUUCACUUUAUAGACUAUGCUCACUAUCUGUUUAAUAUGUUUCAUCGUAUUAAUUAAAGUCUCAUUUCUCAGGUGCUUUCAAGUGACAACCCCAACUAUGGAUGCAUGCUGCCACUGGAAACUAUGAAAAUUUCAUGGUUGCUGGGAUCACUGAUCCAACUAAAGUGGGUUUCUUUAUCAAGUACUUCAUGAAUAGAAUAUUUUGGAGAUCCUAUCGCUGGGACAGAUUGAAGAAGAUGAAGAUCACAAGGGUGGGAUACUGGGGAGGGUGGUAGGGUUAUGAGGAGUGGGCUCUGGUUGGUUUCGAUUUGACCAAUGUCAUGGUUCGAUGGAAUCGAGGUGAUGGGGAUGAUUCAUGAGGUCACAACCACAAGAUGUAGGGCCUACGCGUGGGGUUUAGGGGUUUCACAUAGAGGCUUACAGAGGGAGGGGGUGCACACGUGAAUUGCAGAGGGAGAGGGAGAAAGAGGGGGAGUAGGGUUGCUAUAUUCAAGUUCUCUUUUUUAUUUUUACUUGAAUUUGAUUUGAUUCUUUUUUUUUUUUGCGACAGGUUGAGAAUGCGAAAGCUCAGCUGGAGGUGGAGGUGAGAAUUUUAAUUUAAUUCAUGGUAUAUCUUUUUUUUUUUGUGGGAUUGUGCUGUUUUUGGGAAAACAAUAUUAAAUUGAAGUUUAGAUAUUUCUGUAAUUGGGAUUUAGAGUAAGAGAUGAAGAACUAUAUGUGAUUGCAAAUUUAAAAGUUUAGAACUUUUUUGGUUUGGAAGCUAAUUUUAAAUUCAGCUAGCUGAUUAAUUAAUAGAGAAAUUAUAACGAAUGUGUGAUACGUUUUUCAAUGCGUAUGAGCAGACAUGGGUACUGCUUCAGCGGCAGCAGCUGCUAUAUGAUGGUAGAUGAGGAAUUCUGAGAUGCUGAGUGCUCUUAGUGUCAGAGAUGAAGACUUGAUAAUGAUCGUUCCAAUUCUGCCUCAAGGUAUACUUGAUAAUGUUGUCCUUUAUGUGCAAUUCACUGUAUGAUGCUCGUUCCUUUAAUGAGCCUGUCAAUAUAUUUCAAUGCACCCACCAAUUGGUUUUAUCAUCAUACAUCAUUCGUGAGAAAUGGGAUGGUGAGUUUCUCAAUACAGUUUUAAUUUUUGUGCGAAUAAUGUUUGUAAAAAGUCUGUUUUUAUUUAGUUCAUUGCAGAUUCUUAUUCUUUUAUUUAGUUCACGAUUCAUGCUUUUAAAGAUAAGAAGUGCAAGGCUCUCUCGGAUGUUAGUUUUGGGUGGCAAUUGAAAGAUACGAGGACAAACAAAAAUACCUACCAAUUGAAAGGAUAAAUUCAAUUGAAAAUAUUUGGUUCAUCAAUUAUUAUAGUUUGAGCUUUCUGCAUUAAAUGUCCAGUUUUCGGGAAGAGUGAUUCAUGUAAUUGGGUUUUAUUAAAAUUUUCAUGAUUUUAUACAGUUUUUCGUUUAAAUUUGUGGAUUCAUAAACACUUUUAUGAGUGUUAAUUUCUGUUCGUAUGUCUAAAAUUUGUUUGGAAUUUGGCUGUUUCUUCAAUUUCAUCACCACCUAUUCUCACAACUUCAUUUAAAGUGUUUUGCAUGUAUAAGAUUCAUAUUCAUGGAGGUCAUUUCAAACGGAUUUCAAGCUGAGCUGCAGAAAUUUGAUUCAAAUUGGUGGAUUUGGGUAAGAAACUAAGAAACCAUUAUCUUUUGUUUCGGUUUUAAGAACUGAAUUUAAUGGUUAAGUUUAUGUUUCAAGAUUAUCUUCCUUUCUCCUAAAUACUGAGUUUUAUGAGAUUACAUUUGGCAAGUCUGAAAACGGAUUAGAAAUACAGAGUUUUAUGAGAUCUAUUUGGCAAGAUUAUCUUCCUUUGUCCUAAAUACUGAGUUUUAUGAGAUCUAUUUGGCAAGUCUGAAAGUGGAUUGCGUAUGUUUAUAUCUCCCUUUCUUCUAAAUACUGAGUUUUAUGAGAUCACACCAUCUUAUGUUUAUUGUAUAAUCUUAUGCAGUCAGAAGAAUUAUCAUCUUUUUCCUUUUAGAUUUCAACAUAUUUGGAAAUACUUCAAAUUUUUUGUAGUGUAGUUUGUACUUGUAGUUUACAUGAUUACGUAAGUUCUAUUUCUUUAGUAAAUUUUUAUGCAGGAAAGAAAGUCAUUUCUCAGUUUAUAGUUAACAUGAUUACAUAAGUUAUGCUUAUCUUAUCAACCUCAUUCACUCGUAUGUUGCUCUGUUCAUUCAUGAUUGUGUUAAAUUUAUUCAGGUUAAAAGUGUCUUAUUCAUGCAGUUACGCAUGAAACAGUUGUUCCCGCGGCAACACGUGGGCUUAUUUUCUAGUUCCAAUGUAAACCUAGAGACGAAACGAGGUCAUAUAUUACAAAGACAUAUUCUAAAACAGCCUUAGCUCAGAGAAUAAAAAAAGGAAAACUAAUGAAAAUGGCUUGAAAACUUUGAGUUUUAACGAUAUGGACAAAAUAAAGGGUAAAGUGAACAGUAUCAGGUUUGACUUUUUAGUGUAAAAAUGUGAUUUUUCGUUAAAGUAAACAGUACAGCAGACUUUUCGUUAAAACUCCCAAUAAAAAAAACCAUGCAGUGAAAACAUCUAAGGGAAACGAGUUGAUCCUCAAUAAACGCCUCAAUAGAAUGACAUCUUUGUUAAAGCAUCUGUUAUAAAAUUAGCUUCAUCUAAAACAUGAUAGAAGCUGAUAUGAUCAAGCAUACCAUGUUUGCCAACAUAAAAGAAGGAUCUUUCCAAGUUUAGGAAGGUGGGAGUUGCCAAAGAGAAACCGAUUUGAGCCGCAUUUUCUUCAAAUAUCUCAGGCAAACGGUCGGCUGACAAAAUGCAGUCAAUGGCUUCAACAUCUUGAGAAUAAAAGGCACAACUAGGAUCAAUUGGUUGUACUUCAUAUAGGGAUAAGACUUGAGUCUCGUCUUUCACAUAUGUUUACUUGUUCAUUCCGGCCAUUAUAUGGUACAACACUGAACAUAGAGUACAACUUUUCCGGCCUCUAAGUCCGGAACCCUCCCAAACAUUGGACACUACAAUACCAAAAUAAAGCAAUAAAAUACAACAGUACAAUACAAUAUAGUUAAAAGCAAUCCAUCUUAGUACAGACUCAAUCGGAUGAAUCAACGGAGCCCUAGUGUUCAAGCUUCCAUCCUUGCGGUAAACUUAAGUGGUGGCUUCAAGAAAUGGAUAAUCAGUGUAACCAAUGACGGGAUCAGUGUGUAAAAUGUCUCUCUGUUGUACUUGUUUAGAGGAGCAUUAAGUUCAAAUCUCUUUGGCAAAUCCGGAUUCGCCAAGAAAAUACGGCCAUAAGCAAUAAGAUCUGCACGGCCCUCGCCCACAGCUCUGUUUCCAUCUUCCCUGUGAUAACUGUAAAUCAUUGUGUAUGUUGAUGAAGAAAGAAUAUGCAGGAAGAAAGACAGAGAGAAAUGUAGAAGAAUAAGAGAGUAAGAGAGUUUAGAGAGUAGAGAGAGAAUCAAGAAUUGUAUUUUCUUUCUAGUUAGUUACAACUGACUAUUACAACAUGUAUUUAUUUGUAUUGGUAGCUUACACUCUAAGCCACACAAUAACCACCUUAACUAACUCUUAUAUCACAGCUAUAGAAUCUUAGUACACCUAUCAUCCCCCCUCAAGCUCAGGGGCAGAGAAAUUGAGCCUGAGAUUGGCACAAUGAGUCUGAAAGAGUGGUGUAGAAAGACCCUUGGUGAGGAUAUCUGCAAACUGCUCAGUAGACGAUACAAACUGAACAUGUAGUUGCUGUUUUGCAACCCUUUCUCGAACAAAAUGGACAUCAACCUCAAUAUGUUUCGUACGUUGAUGUUGAAUUGGAUUGCAAGUCAGUGCAAUUGCAGACAGGUUGUCACAGAAAAGUAAUGGGGGCUCGGCCAAAGGAAUCUGCAAGAACGACAACAGAGAUUUAAUCCAAUCCAAUUCAGCCGCUGUAGUAGAGAGAGCUCGAUAUUCAGCCUCAGUUGAUGAGCGAGAGACAGUGUGUUGUUUCUUAUACAUCCAUGAAAUGGGAUUAGACCCCAAGAACACCACCAUUCCAGUUGUGGACCGUCUAUCGUUCGGAUCACCCGCCCAGUCUGCAUCACUAUAGGCAGUAAGAUCAAGGGAACCUCGAAUAUACUGAAUACCACAGCCUCGAGUAGCCUUUAAGUACCUAAGAAUCCGUUUGACAGCCAUAAAGUGGGAGUCCAUUGGUCGCUGCAUAAACUGGCAGACCUGAUGCACUGCGAAAACAAUGUCAGGCCGCGUAAAAGUCAAGUACUGGAGAGCACCAACCAAGCUCCUGUACAUUGUAGGAUUAUUAUAAGGCUUGCCAUCAUUGCUGAGAAGACGGUUGUAAGGCAAACAUGGAGUAUCACACGGUUUGGACAAUAGCAUAUCAGAUUUAGUAAGCAGAUCCGUAACAUACUUGUCUUGAGAGAGAAACAAACCAUUCUUGUUCUGUACAAUUUGAAUGCCUAGAAAAUAAUGAAGAGGUCCCAAGUCUUUCAUAUCAAACUCAUGAGUAAGAGCUUGAAUAACCUCAGUGAUAGCUUGUGGAUGGCUGCCUGUGAUGAUAAUAUCAUCAACAUACAACAACAGAAUCACCACAUAUGUGUCAACAGUUUUUACAAAUAAAGAUGAAUCUGCAAAUGUAGACUUGAACCCUAAGGAAGGUAGAAAAGUAGUGAACCUUUCAUUCCACCUGUGGUGCCUGUUUCAACCCAUAAAGCGAUUUAUGUAAUCGACAAACAUAAUCUUCAUGUUUAAGAUCAACAAACCCAGGUGGCUGUGUCAUGUAGACCUCUUUCUUGUAAAUAUGCCAUGGAGGAAGGCAUUUUUCACAUCUAAUUGUCUCAAUGUCCAACCAAAGUUUGCUGAUAAAGCUAGAACGAUUCUCACUGUUGUAGGUUUAACAACAGGGCUAAAAGUCUCUCCAUAAUCGAUUCCUUCUUCUUGAUUAAAGCCUUUUGCCACCAGCCGUGCCUUAUACCUCCCAAUUGAGCCAUCAGCAUUCUUUUUUAUCUUAUAUACCCAUUUACACCCGAUUAAAUUCUUGUGACGGGGCAAUGGAACCAAUGACCAUGUUCCCUGAUUAUGCAAAGCCAAUAUCUCAUCUUGCAUAGCAUUAAACCAAACUGGGGAUUUCAACGCAGACUUAUAUGUUGCAGGUUCCACUUAUGUCAAAUCAACCCCCCCAUGUUCAUGAACCUGAGCAAGUAAAGCAAGCUUCUUAAUAAUACCACUUUUGGAUCGUGUCUGCAUAGGAUGGAAGUUCACUGGGGGAACAGAGAGAACCACUUGGAGCUGCUCAGGUUGGAAUUCAGGUACCACAGGAGGUGCAGGGGAGAAGGGUUGUGUAGUUGGAGAAGUAAUGGAAUGAGUAGCAGUUGAAUUUCCUGCACUGUCAGGUGAACCUGUAAUUGGAACCGUAGUGGAGGCUGCUGAAAGUUGCUGGAGUACCAGAUUUGGCAUGCCACUAGAGAUAGAAUCUGAGCUUAAUGAUGCAGGACACUCAGUGUAGGGAUUAAGUGACUCGUGUAACACAAGUACAUUACUAUGAUUAGGAACUGGAAUUGGUGUUUGAGAAUGUGAUGGAGGUGGUGAAAUAGUGGUACAGUGAGAUUUAGAGACCAAAGAACGAUAAGGAAACUCUGUCUCAUCAAAUAAAACAUGUCUAGAAAUAUACAUUUUGUUUUUAGAAGCAUCAUAACAAAGAUAGCCUUUAUAGUUAGAUGCAUAUCCCAAAAAGAUACAUUUUGCAGUGCGGGGAUCUAACUUGGUAUGAGUAUAAGGCCUUAACCAAGGAUAACAAGAACAGCCAAAUAUUUUCAAAUGUGUUAUUACUGGUAUGGAAUUGUGCAGCAAUUGAAACGGAGAUAAAUUUCCCAAGGAAGAAGAUGGCAUUCUAUUAAUGAGGUACACUGAGGUUUUGCAGGCAAAAGACCAAAACACUGAGGGUAAGGAAGCAGACUGUAGCAAAGCAAUGGAAAUUUCAAUAAUAUGCCUGUGUUUUUGUUUAGCUAUUCCAUUCUGUUCGGGUGUGUAAGGACAGGAAAGUUGGUGCUUAAUUCUUUUAUCAGACAAAAAUUGUUGAAAUGCUUUGUUUAUGUAUUCACCACCACCAUCACUGUGAAGAGUUUUAAUGGCUACUUGAAACUGAUUUAAGAUGAAAUUGUAUAAAGAAACAAAUAUACCCGAAACAUCACUUUUAUUGCACAUGGGAAAAAUCCAGCAAUAUUUUGUACAAUGGUCAAUGAAAGUGACAUAAUAUCUAAAUCCAUCUAGAGACACACAAGGAGCAGGACCCCACACAUCACUGUGAACAAGAUCAAAAGGUUUUACAGAUUUAUCUACGGAGGAAGGAAAUGGGAGUUUACUGAAUUUGCCCUCUAAACAUGGGUGACACAGUGAAGGUGUUUGAUCAGCAACACAAAGAACAUGUGAGGAUUCUAAAAUGCGGGAAACAAUUGAAUUAGAGGGAUGACCUAAUCUCUUAUGCCAAAUACUGGUAGUAACUUGUUGUCCCAGAAAAGCUGCAAGGUUCCUUUUGUGGAUGACUGCAGGAGAACUUGGUGAGAUGAUCGGAUACAAACCAUUGUUACACAGCCCUUUGUAAAGCACCCUCCCUGUGGCUUUGUCGUGAGAGAUAGCUAAACCUUCACCAUUUGCAGUCUGAAUAGUCUCAUUAGACGGAUAUGGAGUGGACAAGGAAAGAUUUCCCAAGUCUGAAGUCAUAUGAUUAUUUGCACCUGAAUCAGUAAGCGAAAUUUGCUGCUGUGGAGGAGGAGAUGGCACUGAGAAAGAAGGAUUAGGACCAUUGAGUGUUGCAGCAUGCAUAGCACUCAUUUGAGGAUUGGCAUUCUUUUGAAAACAUGUUUCUGCAGUAUGAUUGGAGUUCCCACAAAUAAAGCAGCCUGAGGGACCACUUGUAUUUCGAAAUCUACAGGUAUCAGCCAUAUGGUUGUGCUUCCCACAAAUUUGGCAACCUUGUGAAACAUUCAUGUUUCGAAAACGACAUGUAGAAGCCAAAUGAUUUGACUUCCCACAUAUUUGACAAAGUUAAGGCUGAAACCCAUAAAUCUGUGUUCUUGGCGGAGAAGCACCAAGAAUGCCAGGUGCAGGAUUUGAAGAGAAGUUCUUUUUAUUACCAUAUCUCGGAUUGAAUUAGAACCAAAACGAUUUCUGCCUUUACCAUUGUGAUUAAAAGACCUGUAUGCAUUUGUAUUGGAACUAGGAUAAUUUCCACCAGAACCUGAAAAAGACUGAUUCUUGGACACCAAGUCAUUGUUCUGUGCCAUUAGUGCAGACAAAACAGGUGAUGCAGAAAUGGUUUCAAUCAAUGCUUCUUCAGCCAACAAUUGAGAACGAAGAUCUUUCAACGAUAUCACAGUUUCACGACCCCGAAUCACAGAUCUUAUAGUAUUAAAUUCAGCAGGCAGACCAUUCAAUGUAAGAAUCACCAUAUCAUCAUCAUCAAAGAAAACACCAGCAGCAAAUAGUAAAUCCCGUGCUUCUUUAAUCUUCUGCAAAUACACAGUGAUAGAAUCAUUACCCUUCUUUAUAUUUUGCAGUUCAGAUUUGAGUUGAAAGAUACUGGUUCUUGUGAUAGUUGAGAACUGUUCUUUAAGCCUAGUCCACAAUUCUUUGGAACUGGUACUACCAAUCGCACAAGAAAUCCCAGCAGGGGACAAGGUUGCAGUGAUCAACUGCAUUAAUGCUUUAUCAUGCAUCUUCCAUACUCUGUAAUCAUCCGAUUGAACUUGGGUAGUAGAACCCCCAGAUAAUUCUUGGCAAAAUUGGUCAGGACAAGGAAUCGAGCCAUCAACAAACCCAAUUAUACUAUGGCCUUCAAGCAGGAGCUCCAUCUGAAAAUGCCAAGCCAAAUAAUUUGUUUCAUCCAACUUCACAUUAACUGAACUUGAAACCGACGAGAUCAAAGAAGCAAUCGGAGACUGAAGAAUAUGUAACUGAGUAGCAGUCACCAUUGUUACCAAUUAGGAGAAAAAUCCCAAGAAAUCUUGACAGAGGAAUAACCACAAACACUUGGUGGGUGUACUUUGAUCGAGAACGAAUCAAAGGAAGAAGAAGACUAAACCAGCCCAAAUUUUAACACAAGAAAUCACAGCAAGGAGAAGUAAUAGGGUAGAAGCGGAAGCAACCAUAACCAAGAUCGAAAUCCGUCAAGCUUUCAUGCUUGUUCCGGCGAUGAUACCAUGUAAACCAUUGUGUAUGUUGAUGAAGAAAGAAUAUGCAGGAAGAAAGGCAGAGAGAAAUGUAGAAGAAUAAGAGAGUAAGAAAGUUUAGAGAGUAGAGAGAGAAUCAAGAAUUGUAUUUUCUUUCUAGUUAGUUACAACUGACUAUUACAACAUGUAUUUAUUUGUAUUGGCAGCUUACACUCUAAGCCACACAAUAACCACCUUAACUAACUCUUAUAUCACAGCUAUAGAAUCUUAGUACACCUAUCAAUAACCACCACCAGCAAUGAAGGUACCAUGGAAAGCCUUUCUCAUGGGAAGAAGACUCUGGUGGGUUUCAGCUUUUUCUCCUAAUGUCUUCAUCCUCGGCUCAACCAUGUGGCAGUACACGAUUCCAUAUUUGUUCAAGGCAUUGGCCAUAUAGAGGCCUAAUUCUUUUGGAUUUGAAUCCCCUGAGUCCAUAUAGUCAGCAAAUGGAGAUAAUCUAAUUCCAACUUUAUCUGCUCCUAUUUCGUUAGCGACAGCUUCAACAACUUCCAGAGGAAGGCGGCAACGAUUCUCUAGAGAUCCACCAUAUUGGUCUGUUCGAUCAUUCACAUGAUCUUUCAGAAACUGAUCAAGAAGGUAGCCAUGCGCCCCAUGAAUUUCAACUCCAUCGAAGCCUAUAUAGCAGAUUAACAAUUUCAACAUACUGACGGUAUUAGAACCCUAAGCAUUGUCGCUGAAUUACCAAACAAAUAAUAUAAAGACAAACUACCGGCUUCAAUAGAAUUCCUUGCAUAAGCUUUGAAGCAAAUUGAGUUGUUGUAAAUUAUGUUUCAUAUGUAACGUAAAGACAAAUUACCAGCUUCAAUAGAAUUCCUUGCAGUAAGUCUAAAAUCAUUGACAAUUUGCGGAAUUUCAUCCGUCCUUAAUCGUCUUGGAGGCGUGAAUUCAGAAGCAUCGAUGCCAUUUAAUCGUAUCGGCUUGUCAGUAGAAGAUAUGGGAGCUUGCCCAUUUGGUUGAUAACCUGUAAGCAAGGAGAGAGAAUUACAACCUGAAGUCUAACGACAGUAACUAACAUCCACAGCAGCACUCUUUUAAGUGGGAAUCCUUUGUUACAAAUUACUAUAACCACACGUGCUAUAUACUAGUUCUGAAUUCUGAGUUAUGUUAACAUCAAGCUUCUUCCCAUCCAAUAAUAAUAAUAACAAUGCUUCCGAAGCAGCAAAGUCAUAACAAGUCCAACUCGGAACUUAACAAGUCCAAGUUUUAUCGUCAUUUUGAGCAACAAUGUUGUCAAUUAUAAUCACUAGCUCGUUCUGAUGCAUACACCAUUAUGUUAUACAUCAAACUUCUUAAUCGGUCUAAUUAUUCACUCAUGUUAACAAAGCAUACUAUGGUAAAAGUGUUGUGCCUUGGCCCGUUUAUCAGUGCGGAAACGAGAUUCAGAUUACAACCUCACCAUAAUCACACUCAGUUGAACAGAAUAAAAUACAAGAAAUAAAGACACCGAGAAAUUUACGAGGUUCGGCAAAAAUCCUGCCUACGUCCCCGGAGAGAUAUUGCUCUUCACUAUGAGAAUAACAGUACAAGUACACAUGAGUUAAAUCAACAUAACCCAAUCCCGAAUCCCUUGCACACCCACUCAUAGAAUUUUCCCAAGAGCCUCACUCUAUCCCAAGAGUUCUUUCACCAGAGACCUUUCACUCUAGCUCUCUUGAUUUCUCUCUCACCCGUGUUCAACCCUUCCCAUGGGAGAGCUGAAUGCUCUCCCCUUUUGGAUGCUCACUCCAUCCUCACAAUCGGCAAGCUCUCUUCAUUUUGUGUGUGAAAAAUGCCUUCACUUAUAGACAUGCACCAUCAAUUAUGUCAACCACAAAACAUGCUUCCACAAAACAUGCUUCCUCAAAACAUGCUUCCACAAAACAUGCUUCCACAAAACAUGCUUCCAAAGUCCACAAAGUUGAGAGGAAAUGGUUGCCAACUCAUAAUUAUAUGAGCCAAACACAACAAUCUCCACCUUGGCGAAUAUACUGUGCAAAAAUCCUUGCACCCAUCACCAAUGUCCAUUGGCCUUACGUACCAGCAUACACAUUCUGAAUCAACCUUGUUGGUCCUGUUCCUGAUUCAGUCACUGCCAAUGCAUGUGCAGCUGCUGCAAGCUAAAAAUCACCAUUUAGCUUCAGACAGGAUCUCGACACAUCCUCGUCUCCUCCAGCAGGUUUUCCUUCUCUUCAUUGUCUGCAACUAGGAAACUCGUCAGCGCGCCCGUUUCCAGUAACAACCCAUCGAGCCAGACAAAAUUCCCACACUUCCUCCUACCUCAUGAUCAUCUCAUCACCUGUGAAUCCCAUAGCUCCACCUGCUGCAAAACCCCUGCAACACUUGAGACUAAACAUCACCAGGAGAAGUGUUGCUUCGAGUACCUAGAGGACAUACUCAAAGUCUUCCGCCACAAACUUGCUACAACCCGGCCUUGCACCGUAGCACUGUGGACCCUUGCCUCCGGAACCGGAUCUGAACCUGCUGUCUCUCUCUGAUCCUCUUUCCAAUUUUCUUCCACGAUUCCAACCUUGAAUAACUUAAGCAGUCUUGUGCCCACCAUCAUCCAUGGUCUCCUUUGUGUAUCAUUCCACACCAAAGAAGCUUGCACCUGCUCCAAACUUACUGUAUCUUUCCAUGCAGUAAAGUUUCACAAGGUUCUAAGACAAAUCUGAAAGUGAGGUAAGAAGAAAGAGGCCUUUGUUUUCUUCCUCAACAUCAACUUUCGCAGUUGAUCCAAGCAUCCCUGAACACGGCUUCCAUUACUCUCCUUUGCCAAGAGUAAAACCGCCUCUUCCUUUAAACUGCUCAACUGAAAAUUCCAUGGUGAACAACAAAUCUGGACCUCCAACGAACCAAAGACUCCAACGAUGCUCUGAUACCAAUUGUUAUGCCUUGGCCCGUUUAUCAGUGCGGAAACGAGAUUCAAAUUACAACCUCACCAUAAUCACACUCAGUUGAACAGAAUAAAAUACAAGAAAUAAAGACACCGAGAAAUUUACGAGGUUCGGCAAAAAUCCUGCCUACGUCCCCGGAGAGAUAUUGCUCUUCACUAUGAGAAUAACAGUACAAGUACACAUGAGUUAAAUCAACAUAACCCAAUCCCGAAUCCCUUGCACACCCACUCAUAGAAUUUUCCCAAGAGCCUCACUCUACCCCAAGAGUUCUUUCACUAGAGACCUUUCACUCUAGCUCUCUUGAUUUCUCUCUCACCCGUGUUCAACCCUUCCCAUGGGAGAGCCGAAUGCUCUCCCCUUUUGGAUGCUCACUCCAUCCUCACAAUCGGCAAGCUCUCUUCAUUUUGUGUGUGAAAAAUGCCUUCACUUAUAGACAUGCACCAUCAAUUAUGUCAACCACAAAACAUGCUUCCACAAAACAUGCUUCCUCAAAACAUGCUUCCACAAAACAUGCUUCCACAAAACAUGCUUCCUCAAAACAUGCUUCCACAAAACAUGCUUCCACAAAACAUGCUUCCAAAGUCCACAAAGUUGAGAGGAAAUGGUUGCCAACUCAUAAUUAUAUGAGCCAAACACAACAAAAAGGGAGGUCAUAAAGGUGUAAGUCAGAAACGCACCGCUAUUAGAAACCCUUCCAGCAUGCCAAAUCUGACAGAAGAAGACGCCACCUUUAGCAUGAACAGCAUUAACAAUGGGUUUCCAGGCUUCAACUUGCUCCUUUGUCCAUAUACCAGGUGUGUUUGGGUACCUUCGUAUAUUAAAGAACCAAAAAUUUCAUCAAACUUUGAAACGAAAGAAGCACCCUCAAAUGCUUGUUAGUCUAUGAAUCUACUGUUGUUGAAAUUACCCUUGAGCUGUGUUGGAAACUCCAGCGGCUUCAGCUAUGAGAAGACCCCCGUUCGAAGUUCUCUGAGAGUAAUAUAAGAUAGCAUGUGGUUGAGGAACAUUGUUGUAUGAUCUCUGUCUGGUCAAUGGUGCUAAAACAAUUCUGGAAAGGAAAAAGCAAUUGUAAAUUAUAAAUACAGAGUGAUCAAGACGGAAUGUGGCUGAGGAACAUUAUCGAAUGAUCUGUUUCUAGUCAUCAACGGUGAAAAUACAAUUCUAAAGAGGAAAAACAUAUAACAAACCAUAAAUACAACCUUCAGACUUUGUAGGAAGCAUUAGUUUGCUAAGGCUCUUUGAUAACAAAUUCGCUUUUAGUUUUCUUGUUUUAGUUAAAAAGGAGAAACGAGGGAGGAAGAAGGAAUUUGGGACGAAAAUGUAUGAAAUAAAAACUCGAAUUGUAGAUUAUCUGAAUUUGCUAAGGCUCCUUCAUAACAAAUUCGCUUUUAGUUUUCUUGUUUUACUUAAAAAGGAGAAACGAGGGAGGAAUAAGGAAUUUGGGACGAAAAUGUGUGAAAUAAAAACUCUAAUUGUAGACAAUCUGAAUUUGCUUUAUGUUCUUCAUUUUCGGUAUCAUUCCAUGAACAUUUGGUCCCUCAUCCAUCCCUUCCCCUUCCCCUUCCUCCUCCUCCUCCUCUUCUAUCAUGCAUUUUCUCUUUUACUUAAAAUUAAAAACUAAAAAUCAAAUACGAAAUCGUUACCAAACACAACCUAAACAAAGCAAUGUCUUACGAAGUGACCAUGGCCGAAAGGGCACAUACUUUUAACAAUCUAUUGCAUCUAUUUUCAACAAUUAAUCAAUGAAAUAACUCAAGUGUACUGUUGUUUUGAUUUAAUUUGUAACAUCUGUACUAUUUUAUAGACAAAGAUACAGUUACUCUUUUUUUUUUUUUAGGUAAACUAGAAUUACACCAGGGCAAAGCCAGAGUACAACAGGAAAGCCCACACAGAGGACUAACAUAGCUAAAACCAUUGAGACGACAAACAACAAAAUGAUCCAGGGCCAAGGACCAACACUAGUCCCGACAUUAUGUCACCCUUAAUCAUUCCAACAUAGACUCAACUUAGUGUGGGCAAGGUAGACCAUCCUUGUUCAACUUCUUGUCUCCUUCCCAACAUCUGUACUAUUUUAUACCAACAUGAUUCUCUCUGGAUUCUUUUGGUGAGAAUCUUGUCCGUUCAUCGUACAUCGUGCGAUCAGUUUUUGUCAAAUAAUUUUGUGUUUAAUUUUAAAUAAAAAUAUUUAAAAUAAUUUUUUACUGCACGAUAUACGAUGAACGGACAAAAUAACGGAUUUUCAGGAUUCUCACAAAGAGAAUUCGACGAGUAUCCGGAUUCUAUUUUAUAGACAAAGAUACAGUUACAAACACUCCUUGUCUCCUUCCCCAAAUCAUUCUUCGUUUUUGUAAAAUAGGAACAAUGUAUGAAAGUUUUAAUUACCUAUGAGAAAGAUUGAAGUUUCCAAUUUGUAGGGAGUGAGGAGAGGAACUGUGGGAGGUUGAGCAGCAGCAGACAUCUCAGAAUUCGAGUCGGUCGUCUACCACCUGAUCUUGCACUUGGCCUUUUAUACUGGAUUCUGGGAUGAAGGAAGGAAGGAAUGAAUGAAAACAGGACCCAAUUGGGUCUUUAUACGUUCGGUAGGAGCUUAAAAGUCCGCCCUGCAGCUUUCCUCCACAAAAGUCAGAGAAGGCCGGGUCCCACAUCUCCCCUCCCUUGUGUGGUGGUGGCGGCGGCGGACGUCGGUGGGUGGACGAUGGAUCUCUCCAAAGCAUUAAUUAAACCGAUUAGGUGAAGACAGGUAGGAAGGUUUGAUGAGGUCUGUAAUUACGUUUACGUGGGUUGAAAAUUCACCAGUUUUAUGAGGUCUGUAAUUACGUUUGCGUGGGUUGAAAGUUCACCAGUUUUCCCCAUGAAAAAGGACGUCUACGCACGUUCAUUUCGAUUUUGCUUUUUCAUCCUGCAUUAUUAGGCCAUGGUUAGAAAAAUAUAUUAUUUAGGUCCUUAAGGCCACCUCCAAUCAGAAGGGUUAAAACAUAAUCUCAUAUAGAAUUAUAAUUUUGUAAAAAAAUUAAUUUUAAAUUAAUAGUGUCAGAUCAUAUUCAUAUACUAUCUAUAACCAAAUGAGCUAAACAUAGCCUCAUCAAUUUCCGAUGGAUAGCUAGACUAAAAUUCUAUGGAGCUCAUCAAGCCAUCAUUUGGCUAAAGGGGCAUUGGGUUGGCCAAAUGUAGCCCCCCUUCUUAGCCCUUUUUGGAGCUCAGCUCCUCUACUGCACUAUUUGAGUCAAAUUCAACAACUAUGUUUGAAAACAUUUAAUGGAAGUUUAAUUAAAUUAAUCGAUAAAUUUAAUAUAUAAACUUAAAACUAAGUAAUUAUUGAGAAGGUUAUGUUUAGCCACUUCAGUGACGGUAUAUAAGUAUGACGCGAUAUUGUUCAGUCAUUUCGGUUGAAGAUGGCCUAAGGUAAGAAUUUUGAGGAUAUGUGAGACUAAUGUAUGUUAGUUACAAAAUUAUGUUUGUAUAGAUCACUUGAAAUAUUUGACAACUUAAUAAAGAAAAACCAACUUAAAAUCCAUGAACCAUUAGAAAACUCAUUUUCUUUUUUGGUUUUAUUAAGUUGUCAAAUAUUUAAGCUUUUGAAUACAAACUAAUAUAAUCUUGUGGCUAAUAUACAUUUGGUCCUCACAAAUCUUUAAAAUGAAGACCUUACUUGAUCAAUGAAUUUAUGACAAAUUAAAUAGUCUAAAAAUAAAAGGCUCGAAUUAGGGCUAGGUUCGGUUCAAAUCGGUUCAAUUUUUUUUUUCGGUUUUGGUUUUUUUUUGGUUCCGGUUCGGUUUUUUCCGUGAUUUUUUUAAAUCUUUUUUAUUUUUGUCAAAAAUAUAAAGAAGAGUAAUUUUACUUUUUGUUUCCGAUGAACUAAGAAAUUAAAGAAGGAACUUGAAUUAAAACUAGGGCAACUCGCAAUGAUGGCUGCAUCAAACAAAUCAUCCAUAUCUACAAUAUGAACAGAAACCUUUGUAAAUCAUAAAGUCCUUAAUGCUAAAUCCUUUAAGAACCAAGACUUGAAAACCCUAAAUCUGCAAUACAAACCCACAAGUAAGAAACAAACCCACAACACAAAAAUCGAACAAAUCUGCAAUACAAACCAAACUCCCUCCAUGGCGCCAUGUCACUGCCUCCGUUUUCCGGCCAAACCAAGGCGAUUUAGCCCAAAAAAAAGGUACAUCUUCGUCUCAUCUAGAAGUAUGAUUUUUGUUUUUGAAUCACUUGAUUUCGUUGAGUAUUCAAGAAGUUAUGAACGUUUAAAGUUUACCCAGUUUCUGGCGAGUUUCCAAGUUUUCCCUCGUACCAAUCAACUUUGAGGCUAUUUUCCCGCCAUCUCCAGCAACCAUUGGGCUUCCAAAUAGGUUUAAUCUUAUUAUAUAUUUUCCUAUCUUCAUUUUGAUAUUUUAUGGGUCGAAUUUGGUUAAGAAACGAUUAAGUUACAAAGCUUUGAAAAUUGCCCAAGAACUCCGGGACACUUAACGGAGUUUUUAACGGAAGGACCAAAAUGAUGGAUGGUGGACAAUCUCAAGGACCACUUUUAUCGAUUUGAAAUGUUAGGGACCAAAGUGAAGAGUUAUGCAAAUCUCAGGGACUAUUUUGACUAUUUAGCCUUUUUUUUUCCUAAACGAAAAAUAUUUUUUUUAAAUGAAGAUAGAAAAGUGUAGAAUAAGAUUAUACCUAUUUGGAAGCCCCAAUGGCUGCCGGAGAUAGCCGGAAAAUAGCCUCAAAGUUGACUGGUCUGAGGGAAAAUUGGAAAACUCGCCGGAAACUGGGUAAACUUUAAACGUUCAUAACUUCUUUAAUACUAAACUAAAUCAAGUGAUUCAAAAACAAAAAUCAUACUUCUCGAUGAGACGAAGAGAAUGGUACCUUUUUAGACAGUUUAAAUUGCGGUGGUUUGGCCAUAAAAGGCUAAAUAGUGUCUAACUCGAGACUAAGACAGCAUUUAUAGAACCGUUUUCUGCCAAACCACAGUGAAUUUACCCUUCAAAUAGGUACCAUUCUCUUAUUAUCGUCGAGAAGUAUGAUUUAGUUUUGAAUAACUUGAUUCGUUUAGUAUUGAAGAAGUUAUGAAUUUAAAGUUACUCAGUUUCUGGUGAGUUUUCCAGUUUUCCUUCGGACCAGUCAACUUGAGGCUAUUUUCCGGGCUAUCUCGGCAGCCAUUGGGCUCAAUAGGUAUAAUCUUAUUCUACACUUCUAUCCAAUUAUUAAGGCUAAAUAGUCAAAGCUUUGGAAAACCCACACAGAAAAAGUUCGCAACACUAACUUAACCAAAUUCGCCAAUAUCAAAGCCCCUGGAAGGGAGCCUCCCUCCAUGGUGGAAUGUCACUGCCUCCUUUUACCGAUUUGCGAAGCCCAAAAAGGGAGUUAUGCAAAUAGAAGAGAUUUUGUUUUUUUUCUUUUUUUUUCCCUAAACGAAAAUAAUUUUUUUUAGGUUUUACCCAAUAAGAUGGGAAGCCCUGGCUGCCGCGAAUAGACGAAAAUAGCCUUCAAAGUUGACUGGUCUGAUGGGGAAAAUUGGAAAACUUGACUACUGGGUUAAACUUUUAAACGUUUCAUAAGAUUAAUAAUAAAACUAAUUUUGGUGAUUCAAAACAAAAAUCAGGGACUUCUCAUGAGACGAAUAUAAAGAAUUGGUCACCCUUUUUAGACAGUUAAAAUUGCCCAUAAAGGCUAAUAAGUGUUCUAACUCGAGACUAAGACAGCCAUUUUAGAACCGUUUUGGGCCAAACCACAGUGAUAGCCUUCAAAAUAGGUACCAUUCUCUUAUUAUCGUCGAGAAGUAUGAUUUAGUUUUGAUAAACUUGAUUUCGUGAGUAUUGAGAAGUUAUGAACAUUUUAAAGUUACUCAGUUUCUGGUGAGUUUUCAGUUUUCCUUCGGACCAGUCAACUUUGAGCUAUUUUUCGGGCUAUCCCGGCAGCAUUGGGCUUCCAAAUAGGUAUAAUUCUUAUUCUACACUUUCCUAUCUUCAUUUGUUUAUUAAUUUGGUUUAAGAAAAGAGUUAUGUUAUGAAGCUUCUAAAGAACUCCGGGUCCAAAAACUUCUAAAGGCCAAACUCCGGGACACUUCUCAGGGAGUUUUUCGAUUUGAAAAGACCGACCAAAUCUUAAGGACAUUUUUGGCUAUUUAGCCAAUCUUAAUGUACUCCCCAAAUAUGAAUGCAAGUUAGGACCAAGAAGUUGGGUUUUUAGCCAAAAAUUACAAACUUUAAAUGAUUAAUAGAACCAAAGUCAAUACUAAUUAUAGCCAUAGAAGUAUUGGGUUGACCGUUUAGAAACGUGAGAUUUCAAAAGGAUGUUACUAAUAAUAUGGUAAUUGUGGUGAUUGAAAUAUUUACUGCAAAUUCACCUUUUCAAGAUUCUGAUUCUCUUGAUUUAAAAAAUUGAUAUCCACUUCCUGAAAAAUCUUUACAAAACUUGUCUUCUGGUUGAGCUUCAAAUGCCCGUAUGCUAUUCUUUUGAUUGUAUAUUACAAAAGAUGUUAAACAUGAAACUUCAAAAGGGGAUUUAAUCCAUUCUAUAUUUGAAAAUUUCCUAAAAUGGAUGUUAAAACUGAAAUUCAAAUGUUUUUAUCCAUUUCUGUCCUUACUUCCAAAAUGACUGGGAUCGUGACCGAUAAUUUUACAAUUCCAAUCCCCUUUGAAUUUUAAGAGUUAUGCUAUUACUUUAGUCUAACUAGGGUUAUGUGGCAUUAUGCAAUUUUGGACAUUUCAGUUCUACUUACGAUAAUUCAUUGAGUUUUCUGUUUCCUUCAUUUAAUUUAUUUGCAAAUUUGCCAUUGGGCUUAGAAAGGUUUUUGUCUUUACGGUUAUUUCCGUUCAUUGGAAUUUUUUCGAUUAUUCGAUCCACGCGUUGAUCAUCGCUGGAUCGCCGGCUGUGUGGGAUCUGGUGAGGGGAUGGGUUACGUGUCCAUCAUUGUCGAAAGGUUUGCUUCGACUGCAACCUCUCGACUUUUCGUUUCGUUUCAACUUCUAUCUCACAAGCCUCUGCUUCAGUCGCUCUUGAUCUUCGCCUUUUCUAAGGCGUUCGAGGGACAAAAACCGAAAGCCAAACCUCCACCACAAACGAAGUCACAAAUAGGGAUGGGCAACGGCGGACGGGUAACCGCGGUUAUUUACCCAUAACCAUUUAUACUUAUACCCGCAUAAUUGUUUACCCAUUGGGUAAUUGCCCAAGCAGUUAUACUCAUACUCAUAACCAUUUAUAAACGGUUAACCAUAUCCAUAACAGCAUACCCAUUUAACCAUAAUCGUUUAAUACCAGUUUACUCAUUUACUCUUUUUAACCCGUUUAUUUUUUAUUUAUUUUUUACCAUUACCUCUUUUUUCACCCUUAUACAUGGUUUUUAACAACUUGAAAAUUAAAAAAAAAAUGUCAUAAUUUUUUUUGGCAAUUAAACACCGUUAUAAGCACAUUCAUCAUACAUUUCUGUAUUUUAAUUUUUUAAAUCCUUAUCUCAUUCCAAUAAUUGAAAUAAUUUCCGGCAAAGACACAACGGCGUGCACUCGUACGUGGGUUAUUUAUAUGCUCAGCAAGCACCCUUAUAUGCAAGAAAAGGUUGUAACAGAAGUUUGAGAAGCAGCAAAUCUGAAAGAUGACUCAAGCAUUGUUGAACUUGCAGACAAUCUUAAUGAAGAUGCCCUUAAUAAAAUGCAGUAUGUCUUAGUAGCUUUGACUGAGACACAGAGGCUCUACCCUGUAAUUCCACCGUAAAUUUGACUAACAUCUUAACUAAAUCUAAUGCAUGCAUACCGCAAGGGAAAUGAUUUCAGUGCGCUCCCGUUUAGUUUUCUCACUUAAAUUUCUUUUGAUUUAUUCAAUUUAAGAAUAGAAAUACUCCAUGGAUCAUCGUUGAUUACUUUUUAAUUAAUUAAAACACUACUAUAUAAACCACAUUAUAGUCAAUAGUAUUGAUCUAAGUUUUGUCUGAUAGAGAACAUGAUUUGUAUUAAUUUUACAUAUAUAAAAUAAAUAGGUAAACAGUUAUUCGUUUAUAAUCGUGAUUAAUACUCAUAACCAACCAUUUAAAUUUUACAGAUGAACGAUUAUACCUAUAACCAUUUAUUUAUUUAAACAGUUACCCAAAUGAGCAUGUAACCGCGGGCCAUCCCUAGUCACGAACGCCACUCUCACUCACCCUCCACCGUUACACACGAACCCAAUCAUAAUUCUGAAAUCCAAACACAACCCAGAUGUUAAUCCUUCAGAGAAUGGCAAUGGCCACUUCUUCUUCCUUCCUCUUAAUCCCUCUCCUCAAUAAUCUUCUUUGCUUUCCCCAGUUAAACACCAAGCUCCGAGUUCAGGUCUCUGUCCUUCUACGGCGGUAGAACUGGAGUCUCCACCUCCUCGGCGAUGGCCACGGAGGCUCAGGUCUCGACCCAAGACGACAAAUUGAAGGAUGCCCAGAUGGAGGUAGCUGAUAAGCCUGAGACAGUCGUGCUUCCAACCAACGAGUCCUCCGAAAGCCUCAUCAUAAUUCGACACACGG